GCAAAUCGAUCCUCUUGCAACACUUGCACUGGGUUAAAUGUCAAUCGUAUUGAUCAUUUAACCCUAGAACGAUUCCUAAUCGUUGAUCAACCAUCUGAUCGGAUCAUAAACUCUAAUGUGUGUGACCUCAUAGGUCCGAACCUAAGCUGAUAGUACAGAAAUAAAUUUCUGUACCAAUCGAAGUGACCAUCUAGCAAUGGUACCCGACGAUCGGAUAGGUCGAAUGUGUAGAACAACAUCCUUAGAACCCAUGCGGAUAUAGUUUUUAUAUAAUUCAUCCCCUUGAUCAAAAUGAUCAUAGGACACCCCAGAGUUCAACUGUCAACUCUGAUCAGGUUGUCCACAUUGUAUUUCAAAAUAUCAAAUCCAUCUGAUGGAUUAUCCUGGCCAAGAUUUUGCUAAAUUGAAAUACAGCGACUCAUUCUUCUCCAACUCUUGGAGUGGUCAAUCCCAUCUCGAUCACACUCUGACUUCGCAGGUACUUGACAGUGCCCAG
rnacentral:lncRNA from 1 species